GACGAACCGUGCAAACGUUGUUCGGAUUCACUGGGCUUAAAGGGCGCGUAGGCGGCUUGCCAAGUCAGGGGUGAAAUCUUUCGGCUUAACCGGAAAAUCGCUUUUGAUACUGGCGGGCUGGAGGGAGGUAGGGGCAGGUGGAACUUCCGGUGGAGCGGUGAAAUGCGUAGAUAUCGGAAGGAACGCCGGUGGCGAAAGCGACCUGCUGGACCUCUACUGACGCUGAGGCGCGAAAGCCAGGGGAG
rnacentral:rRNA from 1 species